CAGCUCUGAUAGCUAGUGAGGAAAUGGCACAGAAGGGGACACAGGAGUGGGGGCAGACAGACAACAUAAAUCCACAGCCAAAUCCCAACUCUUCCCCCCCUGCACAGCAGCCUGAAGCCCAGCUGCUCUGCACAACCUGCGCUGCCUGGCUG